GACGAACGCUGGCGGCGUGCUUAACACAUGCAAGUCGAACGGAAAGGCCUUUUCGGAGGUACUCGAGUGGCGAACGGGUAAGUAACACGUGGGUGAUCUGCCCUGCACUCUGGGAUAAGCCUGGGAAACUGGGUCUAAUACCGGAUAGGACCGCACUUUAGUGUGUGUGGUGGAAAGUUUUUCGGUGUAGGAUGAGCCCGCGGCCUAUCAGCUUGUUGGUGGGGUAAUGGCCUACCAAGGCGGCGACGGGUAGCCGGACUGAGAGGUUGGUCGGCCACAUUGGGACUGAGAUACGGCCCAG
rnacentral:rRNA from 1 species